rnacentral:rRNA from 1 species
UAGGGAAUCUUCCACAAUGGACGCAAGUCUGAUGGAGCAACGCCGCGUGAGUGAAGAAGGUUUUCGGAUCGUAAAGCUCUGUUGUUGGUGAAGAAGGAUAGAGGCAGUAACUGGUCUUUAUUUGACGGUAAUCAACCAGAAAGUCACGGCUAACUACGUGCCAGCAGCCGCGGUAAUACGUAGGUGGCAAGCGUUGUCCGGAUUUAUUGGGCGUAAAGCGAGCGCAGGCGGAAUGAUAAGUCUGAUGUGAAAGCCCACGGCUCAACCGUGGAACUGCAUCGGAAACUGUCAUUCUUGAGUGCAGAAGAGGAGAGUGGAAUUCCAUGUGUAGCGGUGGAAUGCGUAGAUAUAUGGAAGAACACCAGUGGCGAAGGCGGCUCUCUGGUCUGCAACUGACGCUGAGGCUCGAAUGCAUGGGUAGCGAACAGG